GAUGAACGCUGGCGGCGUGCCUAAUACAUGCAAGUCGAGCGAACAGACGAGGAGCUUGCUCCUCUGACGUUAGCGGCGGACGGGUGAGUAACACGUGGAUAACCUACCUAUAAGACUGGUAUAACUUCGGGAAACCGGAGCUAAUACCGGAUAAUAUAUUGAACCGCAUGGUUCAAUAGUGAAAGACGGUUUUGCUGUCACUUAUAGAUGGAUCCGCGCUGCAGUAGCUAGUUGGUAAGGUAACGGCUUACCAAGGCUACGAUGCGUAGCCGACCUGAGAGGGUGAGCGGACACGAGGGAAGUGACACACGCUCAAGACUUAUACGAGGGGCAGCAGUAGGGAAUAGGCCGAAAGGGGCGAAAGCAUGACGGAGCCACGCCGCGUGAGUGAUGAAGGUCUUGGGACUGUAAAACUCUGUUAUUAGGGAAGCACAAAUGUGUAAGUAACUAUGCAUGUUGAGAGGGUACAUAAACAGAGCGCCACCGAAAAACAUG
rnacentral:rRNA from 1 species